AGCCAUGCUGGGCGCGCGGGCCUGGUUGGGCCGCGUCCUUCUGCUGCCCCGCGCCGGUGCAGGCCUCGCCGCGAGCCGCAGGUCUGCCUGCAGUCCCACUUCCAGGCUGAACUCCCUGAGGUCUCUGAUUCCCUAGGUGUCCUGGGGUCUGGCCCAGGACCUGGCCCCACAGGAGUCCCAGCAGGUGGGCGUUGAGUGAGGGAGUCUCCAUGUCUGGUUUCCUCUGUUUGUCCCUCACCUGGUCCAGUCCCAGACCCUACUGAUCUUGGCUUGUCCAGCCACCAACUGUGGGCUGCCUUCCAGUGGGGCAACACCCAGGCCUGCCAGAGAGAUGCCUCCAAGCAGCUGCUCCAGGAAGGGCCCGGGGAGGGGGGUAGCUCCUCCCGGGACAAGGACCGAAGUGCGACGGUCAGUAGUUCAGUGCCCAUGCCUGCUGGAGGGAAGGGAAGCCAUCCUUCAUCUGCACCCCAGAGGGUCCCCAACCGCCUGAUCCACGAGAAGUCACCAUACCUCCUACAACAUGCCUACAAUCCUGUGGACUGGUACCCCUGGGGACAGGAAGCCUUCGAC
rnacentral:sRNA from 1 species